rnacentral:rRNA from 1 species
AUUGAACGCUGGCGGCAUGCCUUACACAUGCAAGUCGAACGGCAGCACGGGAGCAAUCCUGGUGGCGAGUGGCGAACGGGUGAGUAAUAUAUCGGAACGUGCCCAAUCGUGGGGGAUAACGCAGCGAAAGCUGUGCUAAUACCGCAUACGAUCUAUGGAUGAAAGCGGGGGAUCGCAAGACCUCGCGCGGAUGGAGCGGCCGAUAUCAGAUUAGCUAGUUGGCGGGGUAAAAGCCCACCAAGGCGACGAUCUGUAGCUGGUCUGAGAGGACGACCAGCCACACUGGAACUGAGACACGGGUCCAGACUCCUACGGGAGGCAGCAGUGGGGAAUUUUUGGGACAAUGGGCGCAAGCCUGAUCCAGCAAUGCCGCGUGCAGGGAUGAAGGCCUUCGGGUUGUAAACUGCUUUUGUACGGAACGAAACGGCUCUUUCUAAUAAAAGAGGGCUAAUGACGGUACCGUAAGAAUAAAGCACCGGGCUAACUACGUGCC